rnacentral:rRNA from 1 species
AACGAACGCUGGCGGCAUGCCUAACACAUGCAAGUCGAACGAGACCUUCGGGUCUAGUGGCGCACGGGUGCGUAACGCGUGGGAACCUGCCCUUAGGUUCGGAAUAACUCCCCGAAAGGGGUGCUAAUACCGGAUAAUGUCUUCGGACCAAAGAUUUAUCGCCUUUGGAUGGGCCCGCGUUGGAUUAGCUAGUUGGUAGGGUAAAAGCCUACCAAGGCGACGAUCCAUAGCUGGUCUGAGAGGAGGAUCAGCCACACUGGACUGAGACACGGCCCAGACUCCUACGGGAGGCAGCAGUGGGGAAUAUUGGACAAUGGGCGAAAGCCUGAUCCAGCAAUGCCGCGUGAGUGAUGAAGGCCUUAGGGUUGUAAAGCUCUUUUACCCGGGAUGAUAAUGACAGUACCGGGAGAAUAAGCUCCGGCUAACUCCGUG